AGGACUCUGCUGGAGCAGGACUUCAGAGUGUUUGUUUUCAGCCUGCUUUUAAAGUGAUUUGAAGAGAGUGGCUUUGAAGAUAUGCCACACUUCUGCCUGCUGUUGGCAACCCUCCUGGACUAGGCUGCUCUUGUUAAUCACAUGGAUGUUGUGAGUAUUAUAUUCACAAGUGGAUGUAGAGAAGAUAUUUUUAUUUAACUAUAAAUGCUUACCACAUGAGCUACUCAUGCUUCGCAAAAAUAUAUUAAACAUUUGUGAUCUGGAGUUUCAUUAAUCUCAGGGAUUAUGCUGCUUGUUCAUUGGUUAAAUAAUGUGGUUUCAGUAUCUUCCCCUAAUCAUAUUGACUUUUUAUGAAAGAACUUUUGACACAAAGCUGUGUCUCAGAAUGUUUUGAUGUAAAGGUAGCUGCUGAUCUUAAUUUGCAAUUGUGGAUUCAUUUCAUCUUGUAUGCUUUUAUGUUAUAGGUUCCUUAAGGUUGCCAGCAUGAAAGUGCUUCAGAUGGCUUUGAGUCCUAAUCUUGUGGUUCUGUUCACUGAAGAUAAGCAGCAAUUUUUUGAUUAUUUUAUUUUCCUAUGGAUUGCCAAUAGGUCUAAAUAACCUCCUUAGUUGUACUGGCAGGACCAAGUAAAAAGACAAGGGAUGAAAAGGAGGGAAGGAAAAAAAGGAAAGAAAGAGAGAAAGAGC
rnacentral:lncRNA from 10 species